rnacentral:rRNA from 1 species
UGUGGUUAAUUCGAUGCAACGCGAAGAACCUUACCUGGUCUUGACAUCCCGGAGACCCUUAGGAAACUAGGGGUGCUUCCAUCUGGAAGAAUCUGGAGACAGGUGCUGCAUGGCUGUCGUCAGCUCGUGUCGUGAGAUGUUGGGUUAAGUCCCGCAACGAGCGCAACCCUUGCCUUUAGUUGCCAGCAGUUCGGCUGGGCACUCUAAAGGGACUGCCGGUGUUAAACCGGAGGAAGGUGGGGAUGACGUCAAGUCCUCAUGGCCUUUAUGACCAGGGCUACACACGUACUACAAUGGCCGAUACAAAGGGCAGCGACACUGCGAGGUGAAGCCAAUCCCGUAAAAUCGGUCUCAGUCCGGAUUGGAGUCUGCAACUCGACUCCAUGAAGUUGGAAUCGCUAGUAAUCGUGAAUCAGAAUGUCACGGUGAAUACGUUCCCGGGCCUU